CGAUGCAACGCGAAGAACCUUACCUGGUCUUGACAUCCACAGAACUUUCCAGAGAUGGAUUGGUGCCUUCGGGAACUGUGAGACAGGUGCUGCAUGGCUGUCGUCAGCUCGUGUUGUGAAAUGUUGGGUUAAGUCCCGCAACGAGCGCAACCCUUAUCCUUUGUUGCCAGCGGUCCGGCCGGGAACUCAAAGGAGACUGCCAGUGAUAAACUGGAGGAAGGUGGGGAUGACGUCAAGUCAUCAUGGCCCUUACGACCAGGGCUACACACGUGCUACAAUGGCGCAUACAAAGAGAAGCGACCUCGCGAGAGCAAGCGGACCUCAUAAAGUGCGUCGUAGUCCGGAUUGGAGUCUGCAACUCGACUCCAUGAAGUCGGAAUCGCUAGUAAUCGUGGAUCAGAAUGCCACGGUGAAUACGUUCCCGGGCCUUGUACACACCGCCCGUCACACCAUGGGAGUGGGUUGCAAAAGAAGUAGGUAGCUUAACCUUCGGGAGGGCGCUUACCACUUUGUGAUUCAUGACUGGGGUGAAGUCGUAACAAGGUAACCGUAGGGGAACCUGCGGUUGGAUCACCUCCUU
rnacentral:rRNA from 1 species